CCAGAACUAGCUAAGUUCCUCCAAAGCUCUCUCUCUUCAUUUAAUCAAUGCCACGUAGGAAUUUUUGCUGAGUUGGACCCGAAGUUCUUGCUGAAGUUCUCUGCAUUGGGGCCAGCCUCAGCGCCGCCACUGCAUCUUCCUCGGGAUCCUCUCAGAUCCCCUUCUCACCCAACCAGUGCGAUCCACCAAUCUAGCCCCCUCCAUCCACCGACGCCUCCCCUGCUCGAUCCCGAGGGGAUCACGAGCAGCUCCCCACCGGUUGCCAGCGCAGCAGCGCACCUCACCUCGCGUCAUGGGGCUCCAAGUCCGCCCGGCUCGCCGCCGCUUCUAUCCGGCAGGGAACGAGACCCCGAUGACCUCCCGUGACCGGAUCCAGCACCACCACGGUCGCCACCGCAGCCUCGCUCCCAGUUUUUCGCGAGCAGAGACCCCCAGCGAACCUCUCGCUCCCUUGUGCAAGCCCCUGCUCCGCCCCUCCGUCCUCGCCGUUGGCCCCGGCGGCGCCGCCCCUCGCAGGUCAUCUGGAGCUCCCGAGGACGCCAUGGCUCCUGGACCUCAAGUCUUCACCGGAUCCGACUGGGAAUGGAGGGUCUAGCCCAUCCCCGACCUCUGGCCGUCCCCUGCCUCGCCGGAGCGCCUCCCCGCCAUGACUGCCUGGACCUGAAGCCCAUCUUCACCCUGUUCCACACCUCGCCUCGCCUCGCCUCUGGUCAAAUCGGCUCCAUAGGGCUGGGACCGUUCGUCCGCUCCAUCCCUGCAGUUCCGCCGGAGUCCUCAGCUCGCCGGAGUUGCGCCAAGUUCCCCUGCAUCGCGCCAGACGCCGCCCUCCGCUGCUGCCUUGCCGCCGUUCCCCUGCGUACUCUGCUUCGUUCGAACCAGGGAAGGGGACGAGCGCUCGCGUUGACCAGUCCUGCCUCGCUGAACCGCUUGACCGCCAGAUCAGCGCCCGCGCAUGGGCCUCCUCUUGCCUCGCACCCAGGCCCAGCCCCUGCUGGCCUUCCUCCUCCACCUGGGCCUGGCCCAAAGUGAGCAGCCCCUCCAGCCCUCUCCUGUACACUUGGCCUAGCCAGAUUCGGCCCGUUGUGUUUUUUCCUGCUGCUAAGAGUUUAGCUUUUUCCUGAAAUAACUGUUUUGCAGUUUAGUCCCUAGAAUCAUGCAUCUAAUAACUUCUCACCCGUGCAUCGGAUUAAAACAAACUUUAUAUGCAGAAUGUCCAGAAUUUUGUCUAGUUUAUUAAUAUCCAACUUUCAUCUAUGUUUAAAAUGUUUAAAAUGAUGUUUGCAUAAAUUUUGCCCCUAUGUCAUGUUAAAAUGCUUUAUUUCAUAACUAAAUAACCGUAGCUCCAAAUCUAAUAAACUUUAU